GCCAUGUGGAUAGCUUGGUUGGGUAGAGCGCAAUGCUGAUAACACCAAGGUCGCAGGUUCGAUUCCUGCAUGGGGCA